rnacentral:rRNA from 1 species
UACGUAGGGACCAAGCGUUGUUCGGAUUUACUGGGCGUAAAGGGCGCGUAGGCGGCUUAACAAGUCACUUGUGAAAUCUCCGGGCUUAACUCGGAACGGCCAAGUGAAACUGUCAAGCUAGAGUGCAGAAGGGGCAAUCGGAAUUCUUGGUGUAGCGGUGAAAUGCGUAGAUAUCAAGAGGAACACCUGAGGUGAAGACGGGUUGCUGGGCUGACACUGACGCUGAGGCGCGAAGCCAGGGGAGCAAACGGA